CAAGGGCAAUUCUGGAUUUAUUUCAUUCUUCACAAUGUGUAAGAGUCUCUGUGUUGUCACUCUCGUGAUGCUCCUAGUCUCGGAAUCAAAGGCGCAAGUUGCCGUAAGUCAACCACCCUCUCUUUCUACUGCCUCGGGAGGAAAUGUCGAAAUAGACUGUAUUGUGAGAGGCGUCAACUUGGGAAACGCUGCUAUAUCCUGGUAUCAGCAAAAGGCUGAGAAUGCUCCUCCUCGGUAUAUCCUGCACCACGAUUCACAAACUGUAGUCAAGGGAUUCAGUACUCCAGAUCGAUUCUCCGCCGGAGAAUUGUCCAGCCCCUCUGUCUCCCUUCUCCCGCCGGCGUCCAAACAGAUCACUGAAGGAAAGAUGGCGACUCUGGUCUGUCUGGUGAAUAAUUUUUUCCCUGGAUCGGUGGAGGUUUCCUGGAGAACGGACGGCAAGGUGGUGGAGACUGGAGUCCAGACAACCCGAGCCGUCCGCGACAGCGACCACACCUACAGCCUGAGCAGCUACCUCACCCUGACCGCCUCCGAGUGGAAUUCCCAUGAAGAGUACACUUGCGGGGUUACACACGAGUCUCUCGGGUCUCAGCUGAAGCGGAGCAUCCAGCGAUCAGGUUGCGUGUAAAGCAGAGGCAGCCGUGCGCGCUAUUAUUUUCGAUCGGGGAGGGCGAUACAUUAUUCACAAUGGAUUCCUUUCCGCUGCUAUCUUGCAAACGUCGGGACAAUUAAAACAAUUUAGUUUUUCUUUCUUUCGUUGUACACAUAUCUGAUAUCGUAAACGUACUAGACUUUCACGUUGUUGAA